rnacentral:rRNA from 1 species
AUGCCACGUUAUGUUAUGUGCUACAUCAGUCCUUUAUUAUAUGAUCUUAUCGAUCGAUCUGUCCCCUAUUUAUCAUCUAUGUUCGUUCAAACACCACAGGUUUAUCAAUCCCUGUUUGUUUCGAUCACUCUUUGGAGAUCUGAUGCGUUUGUAUGUUCUUGGUUGGUUUUGUGGAUCUCCUUCUUGAGAUAUUCUUAUAGGAACUUCUUCUGGAUUGAUUAA